rnacentral:rRNA from 1 species
UGGUAUGUACUGGCUCGCUGAUUCCUCCUUCUUGUAGAACCGUAAUGCCAUUAAUUUGGUGUUGCGGGGAAACAGGACUGUUACUUUGAAAAAAUUAGAGUGUUUAAAGCAGGCUAGCGCCUGAAUACAUUAGCAUGGAAUAAUGAAAUAGGACGUUCGAACCUAUUUUGUUGGUUUCUAGGAUUGACGUAAUGAUUAAUAGGGAUAGUUGGGGGCAUUAGUAUUCAAUUGUCAGAGGUGAAAUUCUUGGAUUUAUUGAAGACUGACUACUGCGAAAGCAUUUGCCAAGGAUGUUUUCAUUAAUCAAGAACGAAAGUUAGGGGAUCGAAGACGAUCAGAUACCGUCGUAGUCUUAACCAUAAACUAUGCCGACUAGGGAUCGGAUGAUGUUAAUUUUUUAAUGACUCAUUCGGCGCCUUACG